CACGUAUUUAGCCGGAGCUUUCUUCUAUGGUACUGUCAUUAUCUUCCCAUAGGACAGAACUUUACGAUACGAAUACCUUCUUCGUUCACGCGGCGUCGCUGCAUCAGGGUUUCCCCCAUUGUGGCAAUAUUCCCCACUGCUGCCUCCCGUAGGAGUUUGGACCGUGUCUCAGUUCCAAUGUGGCCGUUCAUCCUCUCAGACCGGCUACUGAUCGUCGCCUUGGUGGGCUGUUAUCUCACCAACUAGCUAAUCAGACGCGAGCCCAUCUAUGACCGAUAAAUCUUUGACCGUUAAAACAUGUGUUUCUACGUAUUUUAUGCGGUAUUAAUCCCGGUUUCCCGAGGCUAUCCCACUGUCAUAGGCAGGUUGCUCACGCGUUACUCCACCCGUUCGCCACUCUCAUUAAUAAUCUUCGCCGAGGCUUCUGUUUACUAAAUCCCCGUUCGACUUGCAUGUUGUUAAGCACCGGCCGCCAGCCGUUCGUCCUGACGCCCGAGGACUCGUAAACUCUUCGUCGUACG
rnacentral:rRNA from 1 species